rnacentral:tRNA from 1 species
GUUCUGCUAGCUUAAACACCAUAGAGCGUUAGUUUUGUAAACUAAAGACGGGAACACCCGCAGAUCA